rnacentral:rRNA from 1 species
UACGGAGGGAGCUAGCGUUAUUCGGAAUUACUGGGCGUAAAGCGCACGUAGGCGGCUUUGUAAGUUAGAGGUGAAAGCCUGGAGCUCAACUCCAGAAUUGCCUUUGAUACUGCAUGGCUUGAAUCCAGGAGAGGUGAGUGGAAUUCCGAGUGUAGAGGUGAAAAUUCGUAGAUAUUCGGAAGAACACCAGUGGCGAAGGCGGCUCACUGGACUGGUAUUGACGCUGAGGUGCGAAAGCGUGGGG